rnacentral:lncRNA from 1 species
AGCCACAAAAAGUACAGGGCCGCCCUGAAGAAGGAGAAACGAAAGAAACGUCGGCAGGAACUUGCUCGACUGAGAGACUCAGAAGGAGGAAGAGGAGGACACUUUUAUUGAAGAACAACAACUAGAAGAAGAGAAGCUAUUGGAAAGAGAGAGGCAAAGAUUACAUGAGGAGUGGUUGCUAAGAGAGCAGAAGGCACAAGAAGAAUUCAGAAUAAAGAAGGAAAAGGAAGAGGCGGCUAAAAAACGGCAAGAAGAACAAGAGAGAAAGUUAAAGGAACAAUGGGAAGAACAGCAGAGGAAAGAGAGAGAAGAGGAGGAGCAGAAACGACAGGAGAAGAAAGAAAAAGAGGUGAUUCCUGUCAUGGGAUGUGCUGUGUGAUGAGUUUGAAGAAUAAUCAGUAGGCAUGUCAGAGUUUGGGUUUUUUUUUUCUCUUUUUCUUGUCAUUUCAUUGUUUGUUUGGAAAGAAUCAUAUUUCAGUUUAGACAUAACACCAGAGUUCCCUUCUGAUGCUCUUCUUCGGGUCCGUGCAGUGGCAGAUUCCUUAAAGUUUUCUUCAGCUUUACCCUAUUUACCCUUUAUACUGGGCAUUGGCAAAUGUUGUAAAGGGCCAGAUGGUAAAUAUUUUAGGCUUUAUGGUUUGGUCUCUGUGGCAAACAUCCAACUCUGCCAGUGUACCCUGAAAGCAGCCAUCGAUAAUAUGUAGAUGAAUGGGUAUGGCUGUGUUCCAGGAAAGCUUUAUUUACAAAACAGGCAGCUAGCCCUUGCUUUAUAGCAAGUUAUGUUCUUCUGAGGUUCUGCUGUAUAUGAGUUGACUUCUUUAGAGAAUAAUACUUUGUUUUGUUUCCACAUUUAUUUAGGUCAUAAGAGAACUGCUUAUGACAUGUCAGCAAGAAUUAGAGGAUUUAAAGAAAUCAGGAACUCAAAUAUUGAGGAACUAGGAAACAGUUUUUGUUAUUUGUAUUAAAUCUUGACUUCCUCUUCCACUUAGGCUAUGAAGAUAAUUGUAGCUAACACACAGUUGCUUAUUU